rnacentral:rRNA from 1 species
UACAGAGGGGGCAAGCGUUAUUCGGAAUUAUUGGGCGUAAAGGGCGCGUAGGCGGCUUGGCAAGUGGAAGGUGAAAUCCCUCGGCUUAACCGAGGAACUGCCUUCCAGACUGUUAGGCUUGAGACCGGGAGAGGUGAGUGGAAUUCCCAGUGUAGCGGUGAAAUGCGUAGAUAUUGGGAGGAACACCAGUGGCGAAGGCGGCUCACUGGACCGGUACUGACGCUGAGGCGCGAAAGCGUGGGGAGCAAACGGG